GGGCUCGCAGGCGGUUUCUUAAGUCUGAUGUGAAAGCCCCCGGCUCAACCGGGGAGGGUCAUUGGAAACUGGGGAACUUGAGUGCAGAAGAGGAGAGUGGAAUUCCACGUGUAGCGGUGAAAUGCGUAGAGAUGUGGAGGAACACCAGUGGCGAAGGCGACUCUCUGGUCUGUAACUGACGCUGAGGAGCGAAAGCGUGGGGAGCGAACAGGAUUAGAUACCCUGGUAGUCCACGCCGUAAACGAUGAGUGCUAAGUGUUAGGGGGUUUCCGCCCCUUAGUGCUGCAGCUAACGCAUUAAGCACUCCGCCUGGGGAGUACGGUCGCAAGACUGAAACUCAAAGGAAUUGACGGGGGCCCGCACAAGCGGUGGAGCAUGUGGUUUAAUUCGAAGCAACGCGAAGAACCUUACCAGGUCUUGACAUCCUCUGACAAUCCUAGAGAUAGGACGUCCCCUUCGGGGGCAGAGUGACAGGUGGUGCAUGGUUGUCGUCAGCUCGUGUCGUGAGAUGUUGGGUUAAGUCCCGCAACGAGCGCAACCCUUGAUCUUAGUUGCCAGCAUUCAGUUGGGCACUCUAAGGUGACUGCCGGUGACAAACCGGAGGAAGGUGGGGAUGA
rnacentral:rRNA from 1 species